ensembl:lncRNA
UGAGGAUAAAUGUUUUAUUGUACAGACUUAAUAAGAUUAGUCCCAAGGUCACUGUGACAUGGUAGGCCUUCAUUGUAACAUUAUGUCUACAUCGUUAGAUGGAAGGCCUACAUCGUUACAUGGUAGUCCUACAUCACUACUUGGUAGUUCUACAUCGUUAGUAGGUCUACAUCGUUACAUGCUAGGCCUACAUCAUAAGUAGGUAGGCCUUCAUGUGUUUUAUUGUCGUUACAUUUGCUGACCUCAUGACCAUUCAGGGCAUCACGGCCAACAAUGAGACGGCCUACAGAGGUGACGGUGUACCUCAGAGACAGUAGGCCUACAGCGAGCCCCUGAGGUGACGGUGGACCAGAGGGACAGUAGGCCUACAGCGAGCCCCUGAGGUGAUGGUGGACCAGAGAGACAGUAGGCCUACAGAGAGCCCCCCAGGUGAUGGUGGACCAGAGAGACAGUAGGCCUACAGAGAGCCCCCUGAGGUGAUGGUGGACCUCAGAGACAGUAGGCCUACAGAGAGCCCCCCAGGUGAUGGUGGACCAGAGACAGUAGGCCUACAGAGAGCUCCCCCAGGUGAUGGUGGACCAGAUACAGUAGGCCUUCAGUGAGGACGUCCACAGAGACCCCUCCCCUCCACAGGGGGACGCGGAGGUGAGGGCUGAGGGGAAGGCUCCUGGCUCCAGGUUCCUCGGGGAGAUCGUCUCUGGGCCCAGGGGCCCGUGGUCAGGGGCCCGUGGUCAGGGGCCGGCCGGCCAGGGGCCCGUGGUCAGGGGGCCGUGGUCAGGGGCCCGUGGUCAGGGGUCCGUGGUCAGGGGCCCGUGGUCAGGGGCCCGUGGUCAGGGGGCCAGCCCGCCAGGGGCCCUGUUCCCCAGCGGGCUGAGGACACCAGCAUCCGAAGGAGGCUCACCAGGCACACCUCGAGAUACGCUCGAGAAAUACACUUCAAACUAAUUGAUCUGGGCUGAAUUAAUACCUCAGCACCAAAGGUUGAAUAAAAAAAGUAAAGACAUACUGGUCCAUAUUCGUGUCCUUGUUUGGGCUGCGUUCAAAAUGCUGCUUUCGCAACUACAAUACAGCUGUAGCAGAACUACAAUACAGCUGUAGCAGAACUACAAUACAGCUGUAGCAGAACUACAAUACAGCUGUAGCAGAACUGCAAUACAACUGUAGCACAACUAGUACACAGUGUUGGCCGUCAGGGCCAGCAGGGCCCUCUGCUGGUCAAAAUCUAAAUUUAUUUAUCCAUAUUCUUUUUUUAAAAAUGAUAUGUCUGAACGCAUCUUAAUUCCAUAUUUUUCCAGUACUUACACCAUAAUUCCAGAAGGAAAACGGUUAUUUUUUUGUAAGGCUGAGCUCAGCUAACGCAUCACAGCCAGGUUACAUGGAACGGCGGUCCAGCACUAAAAGUAUUGCUAGCCUUUGGCUGAAGCUGCCACCUCCCAUUGGAUAAUACCUUUAACUGAAUCCGUUGAAGUUGCAAAAGCAUCCGGUGAAAAUAACAAUAACUGUGAACACUUGUUCUUGUGUCAUGUGUGUGAUGUGCAGUCUGGUUGCGGAGUGACAUAAGGACAGAUCUGAUGCUGAGGCUGCAUUACUCUAGCUCUGCGGUAAUGCAAGGUGGAGUGCGUGAGCGCUGUUGUUGUUGCUGAAGACCAACUGUCUUGUUGUGGAUGUCAUGCAGUAGUGCAUAUGGUGGCUGUGUUGGCUGCAUCGGCACCUAAUAUGAAAUGAGUGUUUGGGGGUUGGCCGUUGGUGGGGUUCGUUACUGAAGGCCCUGCCUUGAACCCCACUGUAAUGGCCGUUUCUGUUUUUUGUUAAGCUCACUUCGACCCGUGAUUUGUAUACGCCUACCUAGGCACAGGCGCAGGUGAUUUUAGGUCACGCCCACCGCUCUAGCAUAGUUGGAAAGUAAUGUCGGGCGGCGUGGCAUG